rnacentral:rRNA from 1 species
AUUGAACGCUGGCGGCAGGCUUAACACAUGCAAGUCGAGCGGGGGAAGGUAGCUUGCUACUGGACCUAGCGGCGGACGGGUGAGUAAUGCUUAGGAAUCUGCCUAUUAGUGGGGGACGACAUCUCGAAAGGGAUGCUAAUACCGCAUACGUCCUACGGGAGAAAGCAGGGGAUCUUCGGACCUUGCGCUAAUAGAUGAGCCUAAGUCGGAUUAGCUAGUUGGUGGGGUAAGGGCCUACCAAGGCGACGAUCUGUAGCGGGUCUGAGAGGAUGAUCCGCCACACUGGGACUGAGACACGGCCCAGACUCCUACGGGAGGCAGCAGUGGGGAAUAUUGGACAAUGGGGGGAACCCUGAUCCAGCCAUGCCGCGUGUGUGAAGAAGGCCUUAUGGUUGUAAAGCACUUUAAGCGAGGAGGAGGCUACUUUAGUUAAUACCUAGAGAUAGUGGACGUUACUCGCAGAAUAAGCACCGGCUAACUCUGUGCCAGCCGCCGCGGUAA